rnacentral:lncRNA from 1 species
AUGUCGGCGGCCAAGGAGAACCCGUGCAGGAAAUUCCAGGCCAACAUCUUCAACAAGAGCAAGUGUCAGAACUGCUUCAAGCCCCGCGAGUCGCAUCUGCUCAACGACGAAGACCUGACGCAGGCAAAGCCCAUUUACGGUGGCUGGCUGCUCCUGGCUCCAGAUGGGACGGACUUCGACAACCCAGUGCACCGGUCUCGGAAAUGGCAGCGCCGGUUCUUCAUCCUCUACGAGCACGGCCUCUUGCGCUACGCCCUGGACGAGAUGCCCACAACCCUCCCACAGGGCACCAUCAACAUGAACCAGUGCACAGACGUGGUGGACGGGGAGGGCCGGACGGGCCAGAAGUUCUCCCUGUGCAUUCUGACCCCCGAGAAGGAGCACUUCAUCCGGGCCGAGACCAAGGAGAUCAUCAGUGGGUGGCUAGAGAUGCUCACAGUCUAUCCCAGGACCAACAAGCAGAACCAGAAGAAGAAGCGGAAGGUGGAGCCCCCCACACCACAGGAGCCAGGGCCGGCCAAGAUGGCUGUCACCAGCAGCAGCAGCAGCAUCCCCAGUGCUGAGAAAGUCCCCACCACCAAGUCCACACUCUGGCAGGAAGAAAUGAGGGCCAAGGACCAGCCAGACGGGAGCAGCCUGAGUCCAGCUCAGAGUCCCAGCCAGGGCCAGCCUCCUGUGGCCAGCACCCUGAGGGAGCCAGGGCUUGAGGGCAGAGAUGAGGAGAGCACCACAAGUGGUGACCGCGUGGACUGUGGCCGCAAAGUCCGGGUGGAGAGCGGCUACUUCUCCCUGGAGAAAACCAAGCAGGAUGUGAAGGCCGAGGAGCAGCAGCUGCCCCCGCCGCUCUCCCCGCCCAGCCCGGGCGCCCCCACCAACAGGAGGUCCCAGGUAAUAGAGAAAUUUGAGGCCCUGGACACAGAGAAGGCAGAGCACAUGGAGACCAACUUGUCCACCGGGCCCUCAGCCUCAAGUGACACUCGACAAGGCCGCAGCGAGAAGAGGGCGUUCCCUAGGAAGCGGGACCUCCCCAGCGAAGCUCCUCUCCCAGACGCCUCGGCCUCCCCCCUGUCUCCACACCGAAGAGCCAAGUCACUGGACAGGAGGUCCACGGAGUCCUCCCUGACGCCCGACCUGCUGAAUUUCAAAAAAGGCUGGCUGACCAAGCAGUAUGAGGAUGGCCAGUGGAAGAAGCACUGGUUUGUCCUUGCUGAUCAAAGCCUGAGGUUCUACAGGGACUCGGUGGCUGAGGAGGCAGCUGACUUGGAUGGGGAAAUUGACUUGUCUACGUGCUGCGAUGUCACAGAGUACCCAGUGCAGAGAAACUAUGGCUUCCAGAUCCAUACGAAGGAGGGCGCCUUUACCCUCUCUGCCAUGACGUCCGGAAUCCGGAGAAACUGGAUCCAGACCAUCAUGAAGCACGUCCACCCGACCUCUGCCCCGGAUGUGACGAGCUCGCUGCCGCAGGUGAAGGCCCGGAGCGGCUCCCCCUCGGAGACGAGGCCGCUGGAAAAGCAGGACGGGGAGCUUGGGGAGCCCGACCCUGAGCAGAGGAGGAGCCGGGCGCGUGAGCGCAGGCGCGAGGGCCGCUCCAAGACCUUCGACUGGGCCGAGUUCCGCCCUAUCCAGCAGGCCUUGGCCCAGGAGAGGGCCGGUGGCCCUCGGGCCGAGGCGGAGCCCGGGGAGCUGGAGCGGGAGCGCGCACGCCGGCGGGAGGAGCGGCGCAAGCGCUUUGGGACGCCUGACGUGGAGGGACCCAGUGCAGACGAUGCGGCCCUGCGCAUGGAGGUCGACCGGGGCCUGGGGCCGCCCACAGCUGCGGAGCUCAGGACCCAGAAUGUGCAUGUGGAGAUCGAGCAGCGCUGGCAUCAGGUGGAGACCACCCCCCUCCGGGAGGAGAAGCAGGUGCCCAUCGCCCCCCUGCACCUGUCCUCCGAAGACGGCAGCGACCGACUCUCCACGCCAGAGCUGACCUCGCUGCUAGAGAAGGAGUUGGAGCAGAGCCAGAAGGAGGCCUCAGACCUUCUGGAACAGAACCGACUGCUGCAGGACCAGCUGAGGGUGGCUCUGGGCCGGGAGCAGAGCGCCCGGGAGGGCUAUGUGCUGCAGACCGAAGUGGCCACCUCCCCGUCCGGCACCUGGCAGAGGCUCCACAGAGUCAACCAGGAUCUGCACGGCGAGCUGGAGGCCCAGUGCCAGCGCCAGGAGCUCAUCACACGGCAGAUUCAGGCCCUGAAGCGCAGCUACGGGGAGGCCAAGGAUGCGAUCCGGCACCACGAGGCCGAGAUCCGGAGCCUCCAGGCGCGGCUGGGCAACGCCGCCGCCGAGCUUGCCAUCAAGGAGCAGGCGCUGGCCAAGCUCCAGGGCGAGCUGAAGCUGGAGAAGGACAAGGUGCGCGAGCAGCUGGAGGAGCGGCAGCAGAGCGAGGCCGCGCUCAGCGCCCAGCUGCGCACCAGCGAGCGAAAGCUCCAGAGCGCAGAGGCCCUGCUGCUGGGGAGGACGCAGGAGCUGCGGGACCUGGAGCGGCAGCAAGUGCUGCAGCGGGACCGGCACAAGGAGGUACAGCAGUUGCAGGAGCGCAUCGCUGACCUCAGCCAGCAGCUGGGUGCCAGCGAGCGGGCCCAGAGGCUGAUGGAGGAGAAACUGCAGAGGAACUAUGAGCUGCUGCUGGGGAGCUGCGAGCGGGAGAAGCAGGAGUUACUGCGGAGCCUGGCGGAGGCAGAGGACAGGGCCCGCGCCUUCGAGGGGCGGCUGCAGGAGCAUGAGCACCGGGUGGAGGCUCUGCAGGAGGAGAAGCUGAGCGCUGGGUCUGAGGGCAGCGAGGCAGUGCAGCGGCUGGAGGAGCAGCUGGAGAUGAAGGAGGCCAGCAUCCAGAAGCUGGCCGAGCAUGUGCAGAGCCUGCGCGAUGAGCGCGACCUGACACAGCAGCGCUUCCAAGAGCUGCUGGGCCGCGUCUCCCUGUCCGAUGGGGAUGUAGCUGCACUGCAGGAGAAGCUGAGGGGAAGGGAGGCCGACUACCAGAGCCUGGAGCACUCCUUCAGGAGGGUGGCCGGCCAGCUCCAGGGCGCGCGCACGCGGCUCCAAGAGAAGGAGGAGGAGCUGCGGCGCCUGCAGGAUGCACACGAGAAGGCGCUGGAGAGGGAGGGGCGGGGCCUGCAGCAGGCUCUGCUGGGGCCGUCCACCCUGGGGAGCAGCCUAGAUGAGGAAGACGAGAAGCUCCAGGCAGAGGGGGAGAUCGAACGGCGACUGGCCACAGAGUCUCUGGAGGAUGCCGAGGACAGCCUUGCUCGUGUGGGCCUGCAGUGCCAGACUGCCGACAUGCCUCUGGGCCUGCCCUGCUUGGGGCUGGAGGACGUGGCCCCAGGGGAGGACCUGGGGGACAGCAGCCCCAGCAGAGAAGAGAGCACGGUGCCCCUGAGGUCGGAAGUGUCCUCAAAACCUGACCAGGGAGCACCUGGCAUUAAGAGGCAAAGAAUCCGAUUCUCCACGAUCCAGUGUCAGAAGUACACCCACCCUGACGGGUGUGAGAAGACCGGAGCCAGCAGCAUGUCCUCGGAUACCAGUCAGGAGCGCUCACCCUCGGAGGAAAGUAUGUCAUCAGAGGCUACCCCCAGCUCACUCCCCAUGCCCAGUGACCCAGAUGCUUACCUGUCCAUUAUCCACUCCCUGGAGACCAAGCUCUACGUCACGGAGGAGAAGCUCAAAGGCGUGACAGCGAGGCUGGAGAGCCAGCAGGGCCAGAGCCAGGAGGCCCUGUUUGCGCUGCACCAGCAGUGGGCCAACACCGAGGCGCGGCUCUGCGAGCAGCUCCGAGCCAGCCUGCUCCAGGUCACUGCGCUGGCCGCCCAGCUGGAGCAGGAGAGACAGGCCAGGGUGGAGGCGGUCGAGAGCCAUGUCGGGGAGCUCAGCGACGUCCAGGUGAAAAACAGCCAGGCCCUGGCUUGCCUGGAGAGCUGUAGAGAACAGCUGCGGUCCCUACCAGGGGACGCAGGAGCGGGGCCCUUGGCUGGUCUUGAGAGCCUGCUCAUGGGUGCUGUCCAGGCCCUGCAUCCCCAGCCAGCUUCCACGGGGGAAACAGGCUUCUUUGAGGAGGAGAAGGCGCCAUCCCAGCAGCUGCCACACAUGCUUACACUGAGCGAGCAGGAGCAGCUGCAGCUCCUCUCUGAGCAGAUCGCUCUGGAAGCCGCCCUCAUAGACCAGAUUGCAGACUCGCUACGGAACAUGACAUCAGACAUGUCACAAGUCUUCCUGGAGAUCGCUCAGUCAGGACGGUGGCCGCUGGAGUCUGAAAGUGCUGUGGUCUGUCCAGGGGCCCCAGCAGAUGCCUGGGCCAAGAAGGUGCUGGUGGAUGGAGAGUUCUGGAGCCAGGUCGAGUCCCUGAGCCGGCACCUGGAGACGCUGGGAGGAGAGGCAGCCAAUGUCUCGGGAAGCAGGCAGCCAUGUGCCCGGCCAGCCCCAGCCCCUGCCCUGGCGGAUGCCACGUGGGUCAGGGCUGAGCUCAGUCUUGCCGCGUGCUCGAUGAGGGAGUCCCUCCACCGCAGGCUCCGGAGCAUCCAGGAGACCCUCCAGGGGACACAGGCAGCCCUGCAGCAGCACAGGUGCAUGCUGCAGGAGGUCCUGGGGGCCUAUCGGACCCCUGCCUUUGAGAGGGUGAUGCAGCAGGUCUCGGAAGCCCUGCAGCUUCCACUGGGCACCAGAGACGGCGACCAGGUGUCCUGGGCCAGGCACCCACCGGUAGAAGCAUCAAGUCAUCAGGACCCAGCCGGCUCUCUGGCUUGUCCCUUGUCCAGCCAGAGUUCUGGAGUCUUAGCUGCUAUUCAGGAGGAGCUUGCCCUGCAGCUUAAAGAUAAGGCCAGUCUCCUGGGGGAAAUUUCUGCCUCCCUAACCUCACUUCCCUCUGUGGAGGUACUCGGGGACUGUCGGAAGCUCCUGCAGGCAUCCCAGCAUCUCUUGCGCCGUGCUUGUCUGGGAGGCCUUGGCCAGUAUUCUUUAUUAGUUCAGGAUGCGAUUCUUCAGGCUCAGGUGUGUUAUGCAGCCUGCAGGAUCCGGCUUGAAUAUGAGAAUGAGUUCCGGGGCUACAAAGAGUCCUGGCUGGGCCAGAGGGACCCCUACGAGGGGCAUGAGCAGGCCUUGGGGGCCCUGCAGGGGGAGUCCGAGGAGCUUCUCUGUAAGCAGAAGGGCGAGUACUUGGACGUGAUCGCCUUCACCCAAAGGGAGAACAUGGAGCUCCAGACCAAGGUUGCCCAGCUGGACCAGCAGCAGAGGCGUCUGGAGUUGGCGCAUGGCGAGCACGGCGAGAGCCUGGCUGCCCCACCAGAGCAGUUCAAGGAGGAGGUGGUCCAAGUGGAGGGCGUGCUGCAGGCCACAUGUGGCAGGGUCCGGGGCCAGCCUGACACUGGGGCCAGGGCCGAGCAGGACCUGGGGGGGCGGCCUGUGGAGCAGGUGCAGGCCCUGGAGGCCAGGUUCCAGCUCAAGGUCAAGGAGCUCCAGACCAUCCAUGAGGAGGAGCUGCGGGCCCUGCAGGAGCACUACUCGCAGACCCUGCGGUGCCUGCAGGAGACUCUGUGCCACUACCAGGGCCAGCCCCCCUCUGGCUCACUGGCCAGUGGCGAGGCCGAGUCCUUGGCGGGGCUGAGGGAGCGUGUCCGGGAGCUGGAAGCGCAAGUGGACGUUCUGCGGGAGGAGCUGGAGCACCAGGACCCGGCGGGCGGCAUGGCCUCCCUGCAGGAGGAGCGCCAGAGGGACUUGGAGAGCCUCAAGGCCACAUGCGAGCGGGGGUUUGCAGCCAUGGAAGAGACGCACCAGAAGAAGAUCGAGGACCUGCAGAGGCAGCACCAGCGGGAGCUGGAGAAACUGCGGGAGGAGAAAGACCGCCUCCUGGCUGAGGAGACCGCAGCCACCAUCUCAGCCAUUGAAGCCAUGAAGAAUGCCCACCGCGAGGAGAUGGAGCGGGAGCUGGAGAAGAGCCAGCGCUCCCAGAUCAGCAGCGUCAAUGCGGACGUCGAGGCCCUGCGGCGGCAGUACCUGGAGGAGCUGCAGUCCGUGCAGCGUGAGCUGGAGGUCCUCUCGGAGCAGUACUCGCAGAAGUGCCUGGAGAACGCCCACCUGGCCCAGGCCCUGGAAGCCGAGCGGCAGGCCCUACGGCAGUGCCAGCGCGAGAACCAGGAGCUCAAUGCCCACAACCAGGAGCUGAACAACCGCCUGGCUGCAGAAAUCUCACGGCUACGGACACUGCUGACUGGGGACGCCGGUGGCGAGGCCGCUGGUUCGCCCCUCACACAGGGCAAGGACGCCUACGAGUUAGAGGUCUUGUUGAGGGUCAAGGAAUCAGAAAUUCAGUACCUGAAACAGGAGAUCAGCUCCCUCAAGGACGAGUUACAGACGGCACUGCGGGACAAGAAAUACGCCAGUGACAAGUACAAAGAUAUCUACACAGAACUCAGCAUUGUGAGAGCAAAGGCCGACUGUGACGUCAGCAGGUUGAAGGAGCAGCUGAAAGCCGCCACAGAAGCACUGGGUGAGAAGUCCCCGGAGAACCCGCCUGUGUCCGGAUAUGACAUCAUGAAGUCCAAGAGCAACCCUGAUUUCCUGAAGACAGACAGGUCCUGUGUUGGCCGGCAGCUCAGAGGCCUCAGGUCCAAGUCCGUAAUUGAGCAGGUCUCAUGGGAUAACUGAAACGACC